rnacentral:rRNA from 1 species
AUUGAACGCUGGCGGCAGGCUUAACACAUGCAAGUCGAACGGUCCUUCGGGAUAGUGGCGGACGGGUGAGUAACACGUGGGAACGUACCCUUAGGUUCGGAACAACACAGGGAAACUUGUGCUAAUACCGGAUGAGCCCUUCGGGGGAAAGAUUUAUCGCCUUUGGAGCGGCCCGCGUCUGAUUAGCUUGUUGGUGAGGUAAUGGCUCACCAAGGCUACGAUCAGUAGCUGGUCUGAGAGGAUGGCCAGCCACACUGGGACUGAGACACGGCCCAGACUCCUACGGGAGGCAGCAGUGGGGAAUCUUGCGCAAUGGGCGAAAGCCUGACGCAGCCAUGCCGCGUGGAUGAUGAAGGUCUUAGGAUUGUAAAAUCCUUUCACCGGGGACGAUAAUGACGGUACCCGGAGAAGAAGCCCCGGCUAACUUCGUGCCAGCAGCCGCCGUAA